GACGAACGCUGGCGGCGUGCUUAACACAUGCAAGUCGAACGGAAAGGCCCUGCUUUUGUGGGGUGCUCGAGUGGCGAACGGGUGAGUAACACGUGAGUAACCUGCCCUUGACUUUGGGAUAACUUCAGGAAACUGGGGCUAAUACCGGAUAGGAGCUCCUGCUGCAUGGUGGGGGUUGGAAAGUUUCGGCGGUUGGGGAUGGACUCGCGGCUUAUCAGCUUGUUGGUGGGGUAGUGGCUUACCAAGGCUUUGACGGGUAGCCGGCCUGAGAGGGUGACCGGCCACAUUGGGACUGAGAGACGGCCCAGACUCCUACGGGAGGCAGCAGUGGAGAAUAUGGCACAAUGGGCGGAAGCCUGAUGCAGCAACGCCGCGUGCGGGAUGACGGCCUUCGGGUUGUAAACCGCUUUCGCCUGUGACGAAGCGUGAGUGACGGUAAUGGGUAAAGAAGCACCGGCUAACUACGUG
rnacentral:rRNA from 1 species